GCGCUCACUUUGGCAGCAUUUAUGCUAAAAUUAGAACGAUACGGGUAAGGUGAGCAUGGCCCCUGUGCAAAGAUGACACACAAAUUCAUGAGCGGUCCAUAUUUUC
rfam:Pteropus alecto contig69145, whole genome shotgun sequence.